rnacentral:rRNA from 1 species
UCCAGCUUGCUGGAGUGGAUCAGUGGCGAACGGGUGAGUAACACGUGAGCAACCUGCCCCGAACUCUGGGAUAAGCGCUGGAAACGGCGUCUAAUACCGGAUACGCACCAGGAGGGCAUCUUCACUGGUGGGAAAGAUUUUUUGGUUCGGGAUGGGCUCGCGGCCUAUCAGCUUGUUGGUGAGGUAACGGCUCACCAAGGCGUCGACGGGUAGCCGGCCUGAGAGGGUGACCGGCCACACUGGGACUGAGACACGGCCCAGACUCCUACGGGAGGCAGCAGUGGGGAAUAUUGCACAAUGGGCGCAAGCCUGAUGCAGCAACGCCGCGUGAGGGAUGACGGCCUUCGGGUUGUAAACCUCUUUUAGCAGGGAAGAAGCGAAAGUGACGGUACCUGCAGAAAAAGCGCCGGCUAACUACGUGCCAGCAGCCGCGGUAAUACGUAGGGCGCAAGCGUUAUCCGGAAUUAUUGGGCGUAAAGAGCUCGUAGGCGGUCUGUCGCGUCUGCUGUGAAAACCCGAGGCUCAACCUCGGGCCUGCAGUGGGUACGGGCAGACUAGAGUGCGGUAGGGGAGAUUGGAAUUCCUGGUGUAGCGGUGGAAUGCGCAGAUAUCAGGAGGAACACCGAUGGCGAAGGCAGAUCUCUGGGCCGUAACUGACGCUGAGGAGCGAAAGGGUGGGGAGCAAACAGG